AUGAACGCUGGCGGCGUGCUUAACACAUGCAAGUCGAACGGGGUUUAAGAAGGAAGCUUGCUUUCAUUUUAAACCUAGUGGCGGACGGGUGAGUAACGCGUGAGGAACCUGCCCUUCAGUGGGGAACAACAACUAGAAAUGGUUGCUAAUACCGCAUAAUGUCGGAGAGCCGCAUGACAUUCCGACCAAAGGAUUUAUUCGCUGAAGGAUGGCCUCGCGUCCGAUUAGGCAGUUGGUGAGGUAACGGCCCACCAAACCUACGAUCGGUAGCCGAACUGAGAGGUUGAUCGGCCACAUUGGGACUGAGACACGGCCCAGACUCCUACGGGAGGCAGCAGUGGGGAAUAUUGGGCAAUGGGCGAAAGCCUGACCCAGCAACGCCGCGUGAAGGAUGACGGUCUUCGGAUUGUAAACUUCUUUAAUUGGGGAAGAACAAAAUGACCUACCCA
rnacentral:rRNA from 1 species